UGGUCCAUCCUAAUCCCUGCCAGUAGAUCUGUGGCCUGCCAGGUUUCGCUUGUGGACCAGAGCACCUUAGAAGCCUCAUCCCAAGCAGUGAGCACAGCUUCAGUGGGUUCAUGCCAGGGUGCUUCUAGACACUG
rfam:Pteropus alecto contig21806, whole genome shotgun sequence.